AGAGUUUGAUCCUGGCUCAGGACGAACGCUGGCGGCGUGCCUAAUACAUGCAAGUCGAGCGGGUUGUGGAGGGCUUGCCCUUCACAGCCAGCGGCGGACGGGUGAGGAACACGUGGGCAACCUGCCCGGCAGACCGGAAUAACGCCUGGAAACGGGUGCUAAUGCCGGAUAGAGCAUUCCCGGGGCAUCCCGGGGAUGGGAAAGGCGCAAAGGCGUCACUGCCGGAUGGGCCCGCGUCGCAUUAUGCUGGUUGGCGGGGUAACGGCCCACCAAGGCGACGAUGCGUAGCCGGCCUGAGGGGGUGAACGGCCACACUGGGACUGAGACACGGCCCAGACUCCUACGGGAGGCAGCAGUAGGGAAUCUUCCGCAAUGGGCGCAAGCCUGACGGAGCAACGCCGCGUGAGCGAAGAAGGCCUUCGGGUUGUAAAGCUCAGUCACUCGGGACGAGCGACCAAGGGAGGGGAGCGCCCUUGGGGAGACGGUACCGAGGGAGGAAGCCCCGGCAAACUACGUGCCAGCCGCCGCGGUAAUUC
rnacentral:rRNA from 1 species